GAAUUGGUAGCUCAGUGAUAGAGUGUCUAGUCUGCAUUAGAGAUGGUCCCAGGUUCAAUUCCUGGCCAGUCCA